CAUGCCGCCGCGUGUAGUAACCACGGCUCUCUUCUGCUGCCCAGGAGCGGCUCACUGCGUGCGUGUUACCACAGUCUGUCCGUCCAUGCACGAGUUACAGGACAGUUAACAUUUGUGAACACGCUCUUCCGGGGAGGUUCUAACCACUUUGCAGUCUUAUCAUGCCAGAUUCGUCAUACAACCAUAAAAAUGUUGCUGUGGAUGCUGGAUGCAACGACAGAAGGGUGGGAACCUGCCACUACAGCCAGUCCUCAAAAGCAGCACUUUAAAAAAACAGUUUGGGGGGCACCUGACUUUGGCUCAGGUCAUGAUCUCGCAGUUUGUGAAUUUGAGCCCCGCAUCAGGCUCUGUCCUGACAGCUC